UACGUAGGGUGCAAGCGUUGUCCGGAAUUAUUGGGCGUAAAGAGCUCGUAGGCGGUUCGUCGCGUCGGCUGUGAAAUCCCGAGGCUCAACCUCGGGUCUGCAGUCGAUACGGGCAGACUUGAGGCAUUCAGGGGAGAACGGAAUUCCUGGUGUAGCGGUGAAAUGCGCAGAUAUCAGGAGGAACACCUAUGGCGAAGGCAGCUCGCUGGGACGGUACUGACGCUGAGACGCGAAAGCGUGGGGAGCGAACAGG
rnacentral:rRNA from 1 species